GAUGAACGCUAGCGACAGGCCUAACACAUGCAAGUCGAGGGGCAGCACAUGCGUAGCAAUACAAUGGUGGCGACCGGCGCACGGGUGCGUAACGCGUAUGCAACCUACCUCAAUCAGGGGGAUAGCCCGGAGAAAUCCGGAUUAACACCGCAUAAAAACACAGGGUAGCAUUACCCAAUGUUCAAAUAUUCAUAGGAUUGGGAUGGGCAUGCGUGCCAUUAGCUAGUUGGCGGGGUAACGGCCCACCAAGGCGACGAUGGCUAGGGGAUCUGAGAGGAUGACCCCCCACACUGGUACUGAGACACGGACCAGACUCCUACGGGAGGCAGCAGUAAGGAAUAUUGGUCAAUGGGGGCAACCCUGAACCAGCCAUGCUGCGUGCAGGAUGACGGCCCUCCGGGUUGUAAACUGCUUUUGUACGGGAAUAAACCUUUCUUCGUGAAGAAAGCUGAAUGUACCGUAAGAAUAAGGAUCGGCUAACUUCGUGCCAGCAGCCGCAGUAA
rnacentral:rRNA from 1 species